GCUCUAGUAGCUCAGUGCC
rnacentral:tRNA from 1 species